rnacentral:lncRNA from 1 species
GGAAAAGGAAAAGGAACGGAGGGAUAGAGACAAGGACAGGAGCUGUAACAGAGAAAAGAACAAGAAGGAGGAUAGGGAACGGGAGAAGCCGAGGGGAAAGGACCGUGGAGAAGAUGCAGAUUUGUCUAAGGGUGAUGAGGGAGACCAGAAGAAGGGAGUUGACUUCCCAGGAGAGUCUGACCAGGCCUCUACAAAUGCCCUCCGGGACCGCAUUGCGAGGUAUGCCCUUGAGUAAUUGUUUCUGUUAGUUUCAUCCCAACAGAAAAAUGGAUUUGUUAGUACCUUCGUUCCGAGAUUUUCACUCUGAAUAUAAUUAUAUUAUGGACAGAUGAUGUGUUUAUGGAAUUGUUGUUGUUUUAUUAUUGAAGCUAUGACAUUAAUAUCGCAUCAUAGAUAAUAUUUUGUAGGGCUCUAGGAUAUGUGUUUAUCACCAGAAAACUAAAAUAUGUAGUUCAAUCUAGAAAAUAAAACAUGGACAAUUAUUCAACAGAGAGCAGAGAGGAGAAGAGCUAAGUCUAGGCAGAUAAAUAGGAAUUCAGCUGCAACAACUAAGUUGAUUCAAGCUGGCUCCUUGCCAGGGCGAAGCUUGUGCUGUGGGAUGGCGCCAUGGCAGCGGUGAUCCAGCCCAAAGCCACGAUACAAGUAGGACCGCUCAAUAUGUCCUCAAGUUUAAUCUUCUUCCUGAAUCCCACAGUUUUCUAUUUGUUAGUAUUUGGUGGUUAACAGAUCGAAUUACGCAAUAAUUAGAAAAAAUGGAUUGAUACCUUGGGUGGUUGGAAUCUGAAUGUGCUUAGCUUAAAAAAUGGAUUCAUACCUUUAAAAAAUGGUCAUCUAUGUAGUACUAGAUUGGUGAGACCACACACAGGCAUGUAUAUAGUCCUGAAAUAUGUUGCUUUCUUCAAGUGAUUGCGUUCAGAACAGUGAAAUAAUAAUGUGUACUCAUGAAUAGAUCAAUAUGAGUGUUUUCCCAUUUGACAUUUUAUCUCUCCAAGCUAUCGCAAGAGCUGCCUCCUCUCUUAAGUUGAUUGAUGUAACCAUGUUAACAUUAUUUUAAGUUGAUUGAUGUCUGUCCUAUAUGAUUAUGCACGCAAUUGAUUCCUGAUGAAUCAAUUCCAGUUGCAAGUUGGCGGAACUUUUUCUUCUGAGAUUGUGGCCACAAUUCUCAUUGAAUUGCAACGGAGAGGGUGGGAAGAAGUUGGUGCUUGUUAAAUUUUGAUAUCUUUUUUGAUGUUAGCAACUAGGCACUACUAACCUAUCUGUCAGAAUUGGUUCAUUACUAAAUGCAGAUAACAUGCGGGAGCGACUAGGAGGACCUGAACAUGAGGGAGGAAACAAGCCGAAGUGAGGCCACAAUGGCUUUGGGUGGCGCACAAGUGCUCCAGGUGACCAAGAAAUGCGGCAUCCACGAUGUACGGUGACAUGACCGGGCAGGAGGGCACAAGGGAGAGGGCUAGAGAGGAUAAAGUAAAUGUGGCAUCACUAUUAUCAUGCUCGCGUGGUCAGUGAAGACAUAAGAAAACGGACACGUGACAUCCACCGUUGCCAGCACACACA